rnacentral:tRNA from 1 species
UGGGGUAUAGCUCAGUGGUAGAGUGAGUGCUUAGCAUGCACGAGGUCUUGGGUUCAAUCCCCAGUACCUCCA